rnacentral:rRNA from 1 species
AGAGUUUGAUCAUGGCUCAGAAUCAACGCUGGCGGCGUGCCUCAGACAUGCAAGUCGAACGAUUAAAGCUCUCUUCGGAGAGUGUAUAGAGUGGCGCACGGGUGAGUAACACGUAAGUAAUCUACCUUUGAGUGGGGAAUAACAGUCGGAAACGACUGCUAAUACCGCAUAAUGCAGCGGCACCGCAAGGUGACAGUUGUUAAAGGAGCAAUCCGCUUAAAGAGGAGCUUGCGGCAGAUUAGCUAGUUGGUAAGGUAAUGGCUUACCAAGGCUACGAUCUGUAUCCGGUCUAAGAGGACGGUCGGACACACUGACACUGAAUAACGGGUCAGACUCCUACGGGAGGCAGCAGUCGGGAAUUUUGGGCAAUGGGCGAAAGCCUGACCCAGCAACGCCGCGUGAAGGAUGAAGUAUUUCGGUAUGUAAACUUCGAAAGAAUAGGAAGAAUAAAUGACGGUACUAUUUAUAAGGUCCGGCUAACUACGUGCCAGCAGCCGCGGUAAUACGUAGGGACCAAGCGUUGUUCGGAUUUACUGGGCGUAAAGGGCGCGUAGGCGGCUUGUCAAGUCACUUGUGAAAUCUCUGGGCUUAACCCAGAACGGCCAAGUGAAACUGACAUGCUAGAGUGCAGAAGGGGCAAUCGGAAUUCUUGGUGUAGCGGUGAAAUGCGUAGAUAUCAAGAGGAACACCUGAGGUGAAGACGGGUUGCUGGGCUGACACUGACGCUGAGGCGCGAAAGCCAGGGGAGCAAACGGGAUUAGAUACCCCGGUAGUCCUGGCCCUAAACGAU